AAAAAAUUUAAUUAAAAGAGAGAAAAAAGAAUAAACAGUACAUUGGUGCUAUUGUGAAAGUAAUUUUCAUUCAGAAGACCCAUUGAAAUGGUCUUGGAACAAUGCUAAAGUACAGGUAAUGCUGCUGUGUAUGCCUUUCUUAAAGCAACUCCUUUCUACACAGCUAUCUUCAUCUUACCUAAGUUUUUCGUCAUUAAGGACCUUUGCCUUCCUUGCAGGUCAUCUUCCAAGUUCGAAAACUUCAGAGAGCCCCAAAUUAAUCUUUAUGGUUUGUUAACAGUUCAAUUUAAAUCAACAUGUUAAAUGGCUUUUCAGUUGCCUAGCUGACAUCCAGGCACUUGGAGCUAAGACAGGUGUGUUCAAUGGAGACAGAAAAUAAGCAGGAUUAGAGAGAGAAAUGACAAGAGAAGGGAGGGCAAUGAAGAGCAAGCCUCCUUGUCUAAGGAAGCAAAUGAUCGUGGAGUGCCACACCAUGUUUCUUCUCAGCAGGCUUCCUUCUAGUACCUCUCCUAGACCAUCCCUCUCCCACCCAUUCUGAAGGGUCAGCUAUGAAGGCCUUUCUUUCUUUCUUUCUUUUUUUUUGUAUUUAUGAAUUAGAAAGAAUAGUUUGAACUUUGCAUAUUAAAGCAAACUUGGGAAAGUUGUGAACUUUUUAGUUCAUGAUAAUUAUGUCACACACAUCCUUGCUAAAAUUUUAGAAAAUUUCCGUGGUGGUGGUAAGCCCAUUCAGAACCGGGGGAAACAAAAGAACUCUGGUGCUGAGCUGAAUCUGAAGGUGAGGCUUGGUUCUCCCACAAGUUAGUCACCGGCCCCUGAGAAUGAUUCAUAAACAUGGGCACAAAGAGAACAAAAGGUAUGCUAUUACUAGACACUGUAGGCUUUCUUUACAUAGUAAGUUCCAGACCAGCCAGGGAAAUGUAGCAAUGCCUUUUCUCAAGCACAGCAAAGCAGGGCAAACUAAAUUAAACUAAACUAAAAAGAAAAACCAAAACCAAACAAACAAACAAACAAACAAACAAGACCCCCCCCAAACAACAUAGUUCUCUUGAAACAACUUUUUCCUCUAGAUUUUCUUAUCAAGACAAGGAUUCCACUUUCCAAAGACACUUCCAAAAUUAUUUCCUCAGUAUGCUUUAGUGUCAUUUCUGGUCACUAGCAUCUCUGACAUUUUGCCAGUAUUCAAGGUGCAUUUCUACCCCAAAGUCCUGCUACUUGGACUCCCUGCUUAAAGUUUCUCCUAUAGAUUGCCUCACAGCCUUUCUGCUGACAAAAUACCCUUCCUCCCUUCAUGGGUUUUCCUUCACUGUUCACCUCCCUAGCUAGCAUACCAUACACGGUACAUGUUUGUUCUAUUUAUUAUCUGCUUCCCUCAUUGUAAACAUUGUGAGGAAUACUUUGAUUGGCUGGGGAUAUUGCUCAGCUGGUAAGGCACUUGCUUGUCUAGCAUGUAUAAAGCCUCAAAUUCAAUCCCCAACAUUGCACAAGCCAGGUAUGCAGCUGCACACCUGCAAUCACAGAACCUAGGAGGUGGCAGUAGGCAGAUGAUAAAUUCAAGGUCACCCUUGCCUACAUAGCAAGUUCAAGACCAGUUUAAAAUACUUAAAACCCUGUCUAAAUCAAGUCAAACCAAUCAGUCAUCCAAUAAAUAUUCCUUUAGUGAAGUUUUUUCAUUCACAAAUGAUGUGAAGGAGGAGAAAUUCCUACAUCUUGGUCCUGGGGCAUCCUUUCUAUCCUAUAGAGGCAUAUGUGACUAAAUUUUCCAGUAGGGAAUAACUUUAAAGACCUGGCAGUUAUGGAGCUGGGGAGAUGACUUAGUCAGUAAGGUUUUUAUUGCACAAGCAUAAGGACCUGAGUAUCAGUCUCCAGCACCCAUAUUAAACCCAUGUGCAUUGGUGCAUGCCUGUAAUUCCAGUUCUGAGGCACCACUGGGUUCUCUGGAUUAUAAUCAGGCACCACCAUACCCAACUUUUGAUGUGAGUGUUGGUAUCCAGUUCAGGUCCUCUGUCAGUAGCCCCAGGGCUAGGAGGCAGACCAGAGGAUCCCUGGGAGCUCUAGGAUCAGUGAAAGACCCUGACAUGUAGAUAGAUAGAUAGAUAGAUAGAUAGAUAGAUAGAUAGAUAGAUAGAUAGAUACCUGAACACAGAUAGACAUCUGAACAACAAACACACACACACACACACACACACACACACACACACACACACACACACGGAGAGAGAGAGAGGCACACAUGAAAAAAAGUACAUGCACAAUUGCAAAAUCAUAUUCUGUUCCUGGCAUUUAUGGGCUGGUCACUAAAUCCAAUUAAAAACAGCGCUCAGUGGGUCCAGUAUAAACAGAACUGCAGUAAGUCUGCUUCUCUGGACAGACUCAAGGUUCAAAGAAUGGCUGGUGGAGCCUAUAAUGUUCAUGUGCUGAGUAAAUUCUUCCCGUGACCUCAAAACCCCCAACUGACACAGCACAGCCUCUUUUCCUCAGUGUCCUUUUCCAGCUCCUCAACACUAACACAGAGGCAGACUCAAUGUAAGGAGGACACUCAAGGCCAGGCUGUAGGAACUGUGAUCUGACUAAACAGAAAGAGAAACUCCUGGCUUUAGGAGAUGAUGAGAUGCAGGCAGAACCAGUAUGAGUUGGCAUUUUUCUGUGCCGAGAAACAAAAGGGCAAGCAAAAGUUCAAAAACCCACUUAUGUGAAGUUGGCUUUCCUGGCACAGUUUUGCAAUGUUUCAGGAUUUCUUUUCCUGUCACUGUAAUAGAGCACUCUGACAAAAGCCAAAAGGGAUCAGUGGCUUAUAGUGGUCUGUGUGUGUGUUGAGGGGGGAUUGGUAAUGGGAUCACAGCCAUAGCAGCUAGAGGGAGCUGGUCAUGUUACAUCAUGAAGCAGAACACACUCUUUGAUUUGUCUGUCUUACACAAUCCUGGAUCCCUGCCCAGGGAAUGGUCUUGACUCUGCUGAAGAUGGGGUUUUCCACAUCAAUUAGUCCAAAGGAAACGACACUCACAGCCCAUCUUCCAGAUGAUUCUACGUCCUGUCAAGCUGACAUUAGCACCAACCUUCAAGUCUCAAUAAGACCUUUUCCAUGAUGACCGUCAUGUUUCAGAUGAUUUAAUAGGAUGUCACAACUGACCCCGAAGGUUCUUUCUCCAGACUCAUAUUACUAAACCAGAGGUAACUCCGUCAGGAGAUGGCCAAAGGUCAAGUUUCUUUAAUAUUUUUCUUUAUGAUUCACGUUAGUCAAGAAAUUAGAAAAGUCCCACUUAUGAAUGACAAAACCACAUACAGUUUUAAUGUGCUAGUCUUCACUUGUUUUUUAGCUAAUAAAUAAAUAAGCAAACAAAUAAAUAAAUUUGGAACUCAAUAAAACAGAGCUCAGUUUUUCUGGGAGCAGCCAUGCCUUUCCAGUCUAGUUGCAGAGUUGUGCUGAAACCCAGCUGCUCUGGCCAAGUUCUUCAGACACCACAUGAUUCUGGACAUGGUUGCAGUGUUGUUUGUUUGGGACCUUGAGUCUUAGGCCAAAGCUCAAGUACUGGCCUCAGUAAGUUCCCAUUUACCAGGUCUCAGUAAGUUUCCAUUUCUCAGCCUAAAGCCAUUUCUCAGGUGACCUCCUGCAGUCAAACUAUGCACCAAAGGUAACCCAUCUCUUAAUGCUUCCUGCCUUUAACAAUAUUCUGCAUUCCUCUGCCCACCCCACCCUCAGUGUCUUGCAUUCCUCUGCCCCAUCCCCCUACCUCAUUCCCCUAUAUAAGGUUGUACGAAAUCCUCAAUAAAUAGAGCUUGAUUAGCCAUGUUGUCUUGCUCCCAUUCCUGUGUCUCCUGUCCCCCCAGGAUAGCCCAUGUUGACUUGUGCCGGCAGGUCGGAGCAGUUGUUAUGAUUCUUAAGUGGUCUGGUAGAGUCUGGUCUACGGCCCCAGCUCAGAUAGAAAACCAUUUCCUUCAUUUAUUUUAUUUUAUUUAAAAAAUUUUAUUUUUCAUUUUACAUACCAACCCCAGUUUCCCCUCCCUCUUCCCACACCCCAUUCACUUCUCAGAGGGGUAAAGCCUUUCUUGGGGAGUCAACAAAGUCUGGCAUACCAAGUUGAGACAGGACCAAGCAUCUCUCCUUUGUGUCAAGGCUGAGCAAGGUAUCCCACCAUAGGGAAUGGACUCCAAAGAACAGCUCAUGCACUAGGGAUAGGUCAUGGUGACACUGCCAGCAAACCCCCUCCCUCAUAACUAUUACUCUCAUUCAGAGGGUCUAGUUCAGUCUCAUGCACGUUUCCCAGAUGUCGGUCCAUAGUCCAUGAGCUCAACAAGUUCGAGUCAGUUGUCUUUGGGGUUUUCCCAUCAUAAUCUUGACCUACCCUGUUCAUGUGAUGCUUCCUCCCUCUCUUUAACUGAACUCCAGGAGCUCAGCCCAGUGCUUGGCUGUGGAUCACUGCAUCUACUUCCAUUAGUACUAGAUAAAGGUUCUGUGGUGACAACUAGGAUAGCCAUUAAUAUGAUUAAAGGGGAAGGCCUGUUUAGACACUCUCUUUACUAUUGCUAGGAGUCUUAUCUGGGGUAUCCACGUGGAUUCCUGAAAAUUUCUCUAGCAUUGGAUUUCUCCCCAACCCUAUAAUGGUUCCCUCUAUCAAGAUAUCUCUUUCAUUGCUUUCCCCCUAGCUUGUAGUUCAUAUUACCAUGCCAUCAUUUCCUUGACAUUCCUCUGGAAUCAUAAUUUAAAAGCCUUUCUUUCUUAAAUUGCAUUGGUCAUGGUGUUUUAUAACAGCAACAGAAAAGUAGCUAACACUGCAACUCCUUGGCCUUUAUUCUUGGAUCCCUUAAUCAUCACCCAAUACAAAAUCACUUGCCCCUUCUGCUCAUUUUGAAUACUUUCUACUCAUUUUUAGCCAUUGUUAGUGUGCUCAUGAACACUAGAAGAAGGACCAUUUCUUUCCUGAAGGAACUGAUAGUCUCCUUUCUGAUUGUAACCAUAAAAAUGUCUGUUUUCCUUCUUGCUUUGACUAGAGAGAAUCUGAACACCUGAAAAAUGCUAUGAAGUACAGAAGGAUAAAGUUACAAGGCAUUGGGCCAAGCUCCUGGAGUACAAUCGAAGUCAGGGAAGAAUGAGAAUAUGAACAAAAGUCAGGACCAUGAUGGAGAAAUUCACCGAAUCAGAGCUGAUCGAAGCAGAAACAGGCACCUACAGCUAAGCCAUACUCACGGAAUCCAGUUGCAGAGAGGGAGGAGAGAUGAGCAAAUGAACCAGACGGAACUGGAGGUACCUGCAGAAACAGUUGACCUGAAAAUGCUUUAAGUCCAAUGGAAGCAGGGAUUGGAACAAUAGAGUCAUAAGCCAAAAAUUGUCUGACUUCAACAAAAACUGAAACAGGCCAGGGACAGCUUUCUGGAGUGUUUGAGGAACUCAGACAUGACAAAGCCUUGCUUGACUUCUGGUCUCCAGAAUUUCAAGGGAGAUAAGAGUCAAUCAUGGCAGGAAAAAAUGGCAGCCAGUGACAGACAUGCAGCAGGAAGCCAAGAGCCCGACAUCUUCAACUGCAAGCAUAAAGCAGAGAGAGUGAACCAGACUAUGAACUCUCGAAGGCCACUACCAGAGACAUGUCUCCUCAGAAAACCCACACCACUUCCGGAAGCAGUGUUGCCAACUGGGAACUAGAUAGCCUAUGGCAGGGAGUUCCUUCAAACCACCCAAAACAACAGGUCAGUCCAGCUGGCCCAUCCAUGAGAGGAUCAUGGAAGAGCAAGCCAGAAGAAGGUCAAAAGGCCCCUAACCCAGGGGACUUGGAGGACUGCAUGAAACCCUAUCUUCUGGACCUAGCAUGGCCAAUGUAUUCAUGAACUCUGAGCAACUGUGGCUACCAACACAAGAGCCACACAAGAUCCAGUCCUUCAACAUUCCAGCAUGGAUGGGAAACAUCACAUGAGUCUUCAACUCUAGCUGAAGAGUUAAAGACAAUCAGUGACUGCUAAGGGGAGGAAGAGCUGUUUCAGUGAUGUAGGCACUGAUAAGUCAUUUGUGAUCCAGUAAAUAACCCCUCACUCACACACAUGCAAGCAUCUCUAAUUAUGUCCAGUGGGUCACAAAAGCAAACAAACAAAAAAGAUAUGAAAACAUAAGGGGGAAUGUUGUGAAGAAGAAUGUUCCCAGAGGUGGUGGGAACAGGGUAAGAGAGGGGGGUUGGGGAGA